rnacentral:rRNA from 1 species
AAGCGCAUGCAGGCGGUUUGUUAAGUCAGAUGUGAAAGCCCGGGGCUCAACCUCGGAACCGCAUUUGAAACUGGCAGGCUAGAGUCUUGUAGAGGGGGGUAGAAUUUCAGGUGUAGCGGUGAAAUGCGUAGAGAUCUGAAGGAAUACCAGUGGCGAAGGCGGCCCCCUGGACAAAGACUGACGCUCAGAUGCGAAAGCGUGGGUAGCAAACAGGAUUAGAUACCCUGGUAGUCCACGCCGUAAACGCUGUCUACUUGGAGGUUGAGGUUUAAGACUUUGGCUUUCGGCGCUAACGCAUUAAGUAGACCGCCUGGGGAGUACGGCCGCAAGGUUAAAACUCAAAUGAAUUGACGGGGGCCCGCACAAGCGGUGGAGUAUGUGGUUUAAUUCGAUGCAACGCGAAGAACCUUACCUACUCUUGACAUCCAGAGAACUUUCCAGAGAUGGAUUGGUGCCUUCGGGAACUCUGAGACAGGUGCUGCAUGGCUGUCGUCAGCUCGUGUUGUGAAAUGUUGGGUUAAGUCCCGCAACGAGCGCAACCCUUAUCCUUGUUUGCCAGCGAGUAAUGUCGGGAACUCCAGGGAGACUGCCGGUGAUAAACCGGAGGAAGGUGGGGACGACGUCAAGUCAUCAUGGCCCUUACGAGUAGGGCUACACACGUGCUACAAUGGCAGAUACAGAGGGCAGCGAAGCUGCGAAGUGGAGCGAAUCCCUUAAAGUUUGUCGUAGUCCGGAUUGGAGUCUGCAACUCGACUCCAUGAAGUCGGAA